rnacentral:lncRNA from 1 species
GGCCUGUAUUCAUAUGGAUGCUAACUUUGGAUGUCGAUCUUUCUAUAGAUUCGCAGCUAUCUAAAAAUCUUUUAAAAUUUUUAUAUCUUUUUUAAUAUAUAUAUAAAAAAAAUAAUAAAAUUAAUACUUCAUAAAUAGGUUAUUUUCAUAAAAUAUAUUUAUAAAAUUACUUAUCAUAAUAAAAAAUAUUUUUUAUUAUAUAUAUA